CCUGGCAGGCCACAGUAAUGGCCAUGACUCUACUCCACUUCCUAUAACGGAUCCCACGCGGCUCCAUCAUGCUCUGGCAAGUCACGACAACGGACAUCACUCCACUCUUCACAACAGGCUCCACGUGGCAGGCCGCGGCGAUGGCCACAACACUCCACUGCUCUCCGUAACAAACUCCUCAUGGCUCCGAACGGCCCACUACCAGGCGGUUGCAGACGUCGCUGUCAAAUCUGUUACGCCCUCCGCCUAUAAAAAGGAGACCCCCAGAUAUGUUAUUCUCCAAGCUCUAAUCUCUAUCUCAAAACUCUACUAAAAAUUUUCGUUCAAGCACUCCAUUCUUGUUGAGGCAGAGAACUGACUUGAGCGUCGGAGGGUCUUGCC
rnacentral:lncRNA from 1 species